GGUUAUUUAAUCAUGAAAGUACUGGUAGAUUAUAAUUGUGUGCAAGGAGUAACAGUGCAAUGAAAAAUGAAAGGAUAAAGAGGUACAGUAAUGGAACCACACAAGCGGAAGCGGAAAGUGAAACCCAACGGAAGCGAUUGCCGCCGCUCAAAAUCUCCGGUGAGGGCAUCGUCAAAAUUCUUCAAGAUAAUAUUACCCUCCGUUAUUAAUGAGAAGAAGCUGAGGAUCCCUAAAAAGUUUGUCAGGAAAUAUGGUGAUGAACUCUCUGCUGUUGCCAUGCUCACUGUUCCCACUGGCCACGUUUCACAUGUGGGAUUAGAGAAGGCUGACAAGAUGCUUUGGUUUUGUGAUGGUUGGCAACAAUUUAUGGAACGUCACUCAGUCAGUUGUGGGUACUUUUUAGUCUUUAAAUAUAAAGGAAAAUCAAGCUUUGAUGUUCUUAUCUUUGAUUUGACUGCCACCGAGAUCCAGUAUUCAUGCACUAUUCGCAGUAGUUCUGAAGAAAACAAUAAUGGAAAAUUAUGUCAAUUAUCUGAUGAGGAAGAAAUCGAAGAUGAUGACUCUGUUGAAAUCUUGGGGUCCUUAGGUUUUGUUGGAUCUUCAUCUAAACUUAUUCUGGGACUCGACAAAAAGGGUAAAAGUACAGCUUUGCUGGAGAGCUCGAAACCCACUCCUCGAUGUCUAACAAGAACCAAAAGCUAUAAAAAAGAUCAGGAGCAAACAAUUGAAUUAGUGAAUUGGCAUGGAGCGUGUGGAAGAAAACUAAGCAGAAGCGAAACGUCAAACUGGCAUGAUUCUUUAUUGGAAAAAUCCAAGAGAAAGAACAAGUUUGUCACUAAGAAUAUUCAGAAUUUACAAACAUCGGCUCCAACAGUUCGUGAUAGGGGUUUUGAUCAGUUGAAUGAGAGUGAACUUAAGGACAAAACAUACAGAAUUGAUGUAGAGGAACAGCAUCCGACAAAAAUUGCAAAUAGUUCAGAUGUGGCGACUCAAAGAAAUAGAGAUACAAGUCAUCAGACCACAAAUCGAAGAAUUGUUUCUAGGGGAUCAGUGCUAAACGAAGCAAGAGAGAGGGCAACUAAUGCUGCAAGAAUGUUUAAGCCUGAAAAUCCUUUCCAUAUGGUUAUAUUGCGUCCAUAUAAUGUAAACCACCACUUUUACCUGAAUAUACCAUUUGAAUUUGCCAUGAAGAUGAAGUCUUUGCUUGGUGUUUCAGAUAUUGUCAAGCUUCAGGUUUCUGAUGGAAGAGAGUGGCAUGUCCAUUACAUUCAUAAAAGAAGGCGGCCAGUCGCAAGAUUAUGCAAAGGUUGGAGAACCUUUGCAAAGGAAAAUAAUUUGAUGGAAGGAGAUAUUUGUGUUUUUGAGCUGAUCAAGGUUAUGGAUUUAGUGCUAAAAGUGUCCAUAUUUCGCAAUGCGGAGUAUGCAGGGCAACCAAACCAACCUCAUCAGUUUGAUGAAAGCAUAUAUUCAAAGACUACAAAUCAAAGAACUGUUUCUAGGGGAACAUUGAUAAACCAAGCAAGAGAGAGGGCAAUUAAUGCUGCAAGAAUGUUUAAGUCUGAAAAUCCUUUCCAUAUGGUUAUAUUGCGUCCAUAUAAUGUAAACAAUCAGUUUUCCUUGAAAAUACCAUCAGAAUUUGCCAUGAAAAUCAAGUAUUUGCUUGGUGUUUCAGAUAUUGUUAAGCUUCAGGUUUCUGAUGGAAGAGAGUGGCGUGUCCGUUGCAUUCAUGAUAGAGAAGGUCGACAGGCAAAAUUAAGCAAGGGUUGGAGAACUUUUGCAAAGGAAAAUAAUUUGGUGGAAGGAGAUGUUUGUGUCUUUGAGCUGAUCAAGGUUCUGAAGGAUCUUGUUAUACAAGUUUCCAUAUUUCGCGCUGUGGAGUAUGCAGGGCAAGUAACCCAACCUCUGGAUUACAGUCAGGCAAAUUAGUAUUUUGGUGGUGUUAAGGAAAAGUCACUGUUUGAACUGGAAGGGGGUCACUUCUCCUAAAGUUGAGAGUGGUUUUUGGAUUAUGGACAAUUCAAAAGAUUGUCUGUGGGUGGCCUGGUUUCAAAGGAGGCAUCCUAACUGUUCGAGGUAUUGGAAAUAUAUGCUGGAGUUCAGACCAUUUCUUCUUCAGCAUCUCUCCUAUCAGAUUAUUCUUAGACCCUUGGUGUAAUGGACAAAAUUUAUUGCAAACGUGCUCUCGUAGUCUUUACAGAUCCUUAAUCUUCCAAAAAAAUGCUGCUGUUAGUGACCUUCUUGAUAAUGGCAGAUGGAGGAUUCGAACUUUAUCUUCUUCAAUUUCUGUCUCUCUGUUGCCUAUUCAUUCAGGUAAAGACAGAAUGGCAGUGUUGGAGAACUUCUCUUCCUGCUGUUUCCUGGUCUUCCUUGAGCUGGUGUGGUUGCAGACCGAGGACAUCUGUUACUGCUUGCAUUAUUUUCUGGAACAAGAACCUGUUCUUUUUCAACUUGCGGAAGAGAGGCUUUACUCUUACUUUGAUUUUUCAUCUUCGUUUUGGAGCUGAGGAUUGCAAUGAUCACCUGUUCUAUUGUUACUUUUAACAGUCAGUCUCAUCAGCACAGAAUUGCUAGAAGGCUAGUUGUAACUCUUCUACGGAGUAUCUGGACUGAGAGAAAUGCUGGUCUACACGGGAACAACCCUAGGGCUGCUGAAGACAUUGCAAAAUCGGCCUGGUGGGAAGUUCUGGAUAAGUUGCAAGAAUUGAGCUUCAUUUUGUCAUAUUAUGUAUACCAUCGUGGCUGUAAUUGCUUACUUCCACUUCCUUUGUUACUGGAAGUGGCAUUUUUCUGUGUCUUCUGUUUUGUAUUGAAAGGGUAUGGCUUCUCUUAUUAACCAUGUACCUCAUUGUCUGAUCUUUUAAUACAAUCAUUUCAUUUAGGGAAAAAACAAAUCAAAAUAGGGUAUCUACAGUAC